UUCACUAGUGAUUAACGCGAAAGCCCCGAAGGGGCCAGUAGAGUGGCAAACGGGUGAGUAACGCGUGGUGACCUACCUUCGAGUGGGGGAUAACCUUCCGAAAGGAGGCUAAUACCGCAUGACAUCCCGUGUUUAGAUACACGGACAUGAAAGCUGGGGAUCGCAAGAUCUGGGCUUGAAGAGGGGCCUGCGUCCGAUUAGCUAAUUGGUGGGGUAACGGCCCACCAAGGCUUCGAUCGGUAUCCGGCCUGAGAGGGCGGACGGACACACUGGAACUGAGACACGGUCCAGACUCCUACGGGAGGCAGCAGUAGGGAAUUGUUCGCAAUGGGCGCAAUUGU
rnacentral:rRNA from 1 species